rnacentral:rRNA from 1 species
UCGCCCCGCCCUUGGAAGUGAACCAUCUCAGUACCCGUACCCGCCCUUGGAAGUGAACCAUCUCAGUACCCGUAGGAAGAGAAAACAAAUAGUGAUUCCGUGAGUAGUGGCGAGCGAAAGCGGAUUGAGGCUAAACCGGUUGCGUGUGAUACCUGUCAGGGGUUGCGUGGUCGGGGUUGUGGGACCCUGCUGAGUGUGCUGACACGCACUCGAGAAGUUACAAAGCCAGUUGCUAGUCGAACAGUCUGGAAUGGCUGACCGUAGACGGUGAUAGUCCGGUAGGUGAAAGCAGCUGGUCUUCUGUGGGUGUUCCCGAGUAGCGGCGGACCCCUGAAAUCUGCCGUGAAUCUGCCAGGACCACCUGGUAAGCCUAAAUACUUCCUGGUGACCGAUAGCGGACGAGUACCGUGAGGGAAUGGUGAAAAGUACCCCGGGAGGGGAGUGAAAUAGUACCUGAAACCGUUCGCCUACAAUCCGUCGGAGCCUUGCGGGGUGACGGCGUGCCUUUUGAAUAANGAGCCGGCUAGUU